CGUGCUUAACACAUGCAAGUCGAACGAUGAACCAGGAGCUUGCUCUUGGGGAUUAGUGGCGAACGGGUGAGUAACACGUGAGUAACCUGCCCUGGACUCUGGGAUAACCCCGAGAAAUCGGAGCUAAUACCGGAUAGGACCUGGAACCGCAUGGUUUUGGGUGGAAAGUUUUUUCGGUCUGGGAUGGACUCGCGGCCUAUCAGCUUGUUGGUGAGGUAAUGGCUCACCAAGGCGUCGACGGGUAGCCGGCCUGAGAGGGUGACCGGCCACACUGGGACUGAGACACGGCCCAGACUCCUACGGGAGGCAGCAGUGGGGAAUAUUGCACAAUGGGCGAAAGCCUGAUGCAGCAACGCCGCGUGAGGGAUGACGGCCUUCGGGUUGUAAACCUCUUUUAGUAGGGAAGAAGGGCUUCGGCUUGACGGUACCUGCAGAAAAAGCACCGGCUAACUACGUGCCAGCAGCCGCGGUAAUACGUAGGGUGCGAGCGUUGUCCGGAAUUAUUGGGCGUAAAGAGCUCGUAGGCGGUUUGUCACGUCUGCUGUGAAAUCCCGAGGCUCAACCUCGGGCCUGCAGUGGGUACGGGCAGACUGGAGUGCGGUAGGGGAGAUUGGAAUUCCUGGUGUAGCGGUGGAAUGCGCAGAUAUCAGGAGGAACACCGAUGGCGAAGGCAGAUCUCUGGGCCGUAACUGACGCUGAGGAGCGAAAGCGUGGGGAGCGAACAGGAUUAGAUACCCUGGUAGUCCACGCCGUAAACGUUGGGCGCUAGAUGU
rnacentral:rRNA from 1 species